rnacentral:rRNA from 1 species
UACGUAGGGGGCGAGCGUUGUCCGGAUUUAUUGGGCGUAAAGAGCUCGUAGGCGGUCUGUCGCGUCGGAUGUGAAAACCCAGGGCUCAACUCUGGGCCUGCAUUCGAUACGGGCAGACUAGAGUACGGCAGGGGAGACUGGAAUUCCUGGUGUAGCGGUGAAAUGCGCAGAUAUCAGGAGGAACACCGGUGGCGAAGGCGGGUCUCUGGGCCGAUACUGACGCUGAGGAGCGAAAGCGUGGGGAGCGAACAGG